GGGUAAUUUUCCGCAAUGGGCGCAAGCCUGACGGAGCAAUACCGCGUGAGGGAGGAAGGCUCUUGGGUCGUAAACCUCUUUUCUCAGGGAAGAAUACAAUGACGGUACCUGAGGAAUCAGCAUCGGCUAACUCCGUGCCAGCAGCCGCGGUAAUACGGAGGAUGCAAGCGUUAUCCGGAAUGAUUGGGCGUAAAGCGUCCGUAGGUGGUUAUGUAAGUCUGUGGUUAAAGCGUGGGGCUCAACCCCAUAAGGGCCAUGGAAACUACACAACUAGAGUCAAGUAGGGGUAGAGGGAAUUCCCAGUGUAGCGGUGAAAUGCGUAGAGAUUGGGAAGAACACCGGUGGCGAAAGCGCUCUACUGGACUUAAACUGACACUGAGGGACGAAAGCUAGGGGAGCGAAAGGGAUUAGAUACCCCUGUAGUCCUAGCCGUAAACGAUGGAUACUAGGCGUUGCCCGUAUCGACCCGGGCAGUGUCGUAGCCAACGCGUUAAGUAUCC
rnacentral:rRNA from 1 species